AACUUUAUACACUAUAAAUAUCAAACCAUAUUCUACUUUAUACAUGCAAAGUAGAAAGAAAAAAAAUAUGGUUGAAAUUCUCAAAUUUUUUUAUGCUAUGAAUAUAUUUAUUUUCUUAAUUAUUUUAUCAGCGAAAGUUCGUGGUGCACAUAUUAAAUGUGAAACUGAUGAUGAUUGUCCAAAAUCCUUGAACAACUUAUUAGCUAUUAAAUGCAUUGAUCACGUAUGUAAAUUUGUCAGUAAUCUUUCUCAAUUUGAGGAUCUAUUUUGAGUCCUAGAUCCUGGGGAGUACAAAAAUGCAUGGCAAAGAAGAAUGAUUUAUUGUGCUAGAAAAAUAAAUGUGAAAUAUGCCUAUGAUAGAUUUUUCCAAAAUAUGUCAUUUAAAUAUUGUAUGGGCACCCAAAUAAUUAAUUUUUUUUCUUUUCCUAAUUUCCGGAACCUUUCAUUUAUGAUUAUGUAAGACAACAAUGAAUAUUAUUUAUAUUGUCUUAUUCUCUCUUAA